GUUUGAAGAGUCUUUUAAGCCAACAGUUCCAGGCAUACCAAAACAGUCUGUCCGUAAAGGAUGUCAGGCUGGACAGUUAAGCAGCAGAUGCUGAUCAAUGUGGAACAUGGAAGUAAUAUGUUGUGAUAUAACAACAGCAGCAAGAGAUUAGUGAAGAUGGCAUCUGACUACGAAGCCCUAAUUACAGACAUGACUCUGACCUCUGCAUUCCUGCCCUUAUCAAAAACGUUACAG